rnacentral:rRNA from 1 species
GUCUACGGCCAUACCACUCUGAAUGCGCCCGAUCUCGUCCGAUCUUGGAAGACAUGCAACUCAAAUGUAAAUACAGUAGAAU